UGAUGUACCAACAGAGAUUAAAAGUGU
rnacentral:piRNA from 1 species